AUUGAACGCUGGCGGAACGCUUUACACAUGCAAGUCGAGCGGCAGCACGGGGGCAACCCUGGUGGCGAGCGGCGAACGGGUGAGUAACACAUCGGAACAUGCCCAGUCGUGGGGGAUAACACUUCGAAAGAAGUGCUAAUACCGCAUACGUCCUGAGGGAGAAAGCGGGGGAUCUUCGGACCUCGCGCGAUUGGAGCGGCGGAUGUCAGAUGAGCUAGUUGGUGGGGUAAAGGCCUACCAAGGCAACGAUCUGUAGCUGGUCUGAGAGGAUGAUCAGCCACACUGGGACUGAGACACGGCCCAGACUCCUACGGGAGGCAGCAGUGGGGAAUUUUGGACAAUGGGGGCAACCCUGAUCCAGCCAUUCCGCGUGAGUGAAGAAGGCCUUCGGGUUGUAAAGCUCUUUCGGCAGGAACGAAACGGCGAGCUCUAACAUAGCUUGCUAAUGACGGUACCUGAAGAAGAAGCACCGGCUAACUACGUGCCAGCCGCCGCCGUAACAC
rnacentral:rRNA from 1 species